rnacentral:rRNA from 1 species
AUUGAACGCUGGCGGCAGGCCUAACACAUGCAAGUCGAGCGGAGCGGCGGACGGGUGAGUAAUGCCUAGGAAUCUGCCUGGUCGUGGGGGAUAACGUCCGGAAACGGGCGCUAAUACCGCAUACUAUCAGAUGAGCCUAGGUCGGAUUAGCUAGUUGGUGGGGGAAAGGCCUACCAAGGCGACGAGCCGUAACUGGUCUGAGAGGAUGAUCAGUCACACUGGAACUGAGACACGGUCCAGACUCCUACGGGAGGGAGAAGUGGGGAAUAUUGGACAAUGGGCGAAAGCCUGAUCCAGCCAUGCCGCGUGUGUGAAGAAGGCCUUCGGGUUGUAAAGUACUUUCAGCUGGGAGGCGUUACCCGCAGAAGAAGCACCGGCUAACUCCGUGCCAGCCGCCGCGGUAAUUC